GAUGAAGAACGUAGUGAAAUGCGAUAAGUAAUGUGAAUUGCAGAAUUCAGUGAAUCAUCGAAUCUUUGAACGCACAUUGCGCCCGCCAGUAUUCUGGCGGGCAUGCCUGUUCGAGCGUCAUUACAACCCUCAGGCCCCCGGGCCUGGCGUUGGGGAUCGGCGGAAGCCCCCUGCGGGCACAACGCCGUCCCCCAAAUACAGUGGCGGUCCCGCCGCAGCUUCCAUUGCGUAGUAGCUAACACCUCGCAACUGGAGAGCGGCGCGGCCACGCCGUAAAACACCCAACUUCUGAAUGUUGACCUCGAAUCAGGUAGGAAUACCCGCUGAACUUAAGCAUAUCAAUAACGGAGGA
rnacentral:misc_RNA from 1 species